GAUGAACGCUAGCGGCAGGCUUAGUACAUGCAAGUCGAGGGGUAGCAAGAUUGUAGCAAUACAAUUGUUGACGACCGGCAAACGGGUGCGGAACACGUACACAACCUUCCUUCAAGUGGGGAAUAGCCCAGAGAAAUUUGGAUUAAUACCCCGUAACAUAGCGAUGUGGCAUCACAUUGCUAUUAUAGCUUCGGCGCUUGUUGAUGGGUGUGCGGCUGAUUAGAUAGUUGGCGGGGUAACGGCCCACCAAGUCUACGAUCAGUAGCUGAUGUGAGAGCAGGAUCAGCCACACGGGCACUGAGACACGGGCCCGACUCCUACGGGAGGCAGCAGUAAGGAAUAUUGGACAAUGGACGCAAGUCUGAUCCAGCCAUGCCGCGUGAAGGAUUAAGGUCCUCUGGAUUGUAAACUUCUUUUAUAAGGGACGAAAAAAGGUCUUUCUAGAUCGUCUGACGGUACCUUAUGAAUAAGCACCGGCUACCUCCGUGCCAGCCGCCGCCGUAA
rnacentral:rRNA from 1 species